AUUGAACGCUGGCGGCAUGCCUUACACAUGCAAGUCGAACGGCAGCGGGGGAGAAGCUUGCUUUUCCUGCCGGCGAGUGGCGAACGGGUGAGUAAUACAUCGGAACGUGCCCUGUAGUGGGGGAUAACUAGUCGAAAGAUUAGCUAAUACCGCAUACGACCUGAGGGUGAAAGUGGGGGACCGCAAGGCCUCAUGCUAUAGGGGCGGCCGGUGUCUGAUUAGCUAGUUGGUGGGGUAAAGGCCUACCAAGGCGACGAUCAGUAGCUGGUCUGAGAGGACGAUCAGCCACACUGGGACUGAGACACGGCCCAGACUCCUACGGGAGGCAGCAGUGGGGAAUUUUGGACAAUGGGCGAAAGCCUGAUCCAGCAAUGCCGCGUGUGUGAAGAAGGCCUUCGGGUUGUAAAGCACUUUUGUCCGGAAAGAAAUGGCUCUGGUUAAUACCUGGGGUCGAUGACGGUACCGGAAGAAUAAGGACCGGCUAACUACGUGCCAGCCGCCGCCGUAA
rnacentral:rRNA from 1 species